CCCCGACGCCGGGCGGGGGCGACGCGAGGCCCGCACCUGUCCCGUUCUCGCGGUGCCGGCGGGACGGGGGGCUCGGCGCGUGAAGGGCAGCGCGCAGGGCUGCUUCUCAGGGCUGCUGGCAGCCUGGGCCUUGGAAUCCUGUUGGAGCAGUGUUUAAUCGGAUCCCAAGAAAUAGCAGGAGAGAAGAGCAGUUACCAGCACACUUUUCUUCUGCAUUUUGUUCAAAGUGAGAUGUGAACAUGAACAGCAAGCUUCACAAAGUCACCAGACAAUUAAGGCAUGGCAGAGGCACCACAUUCAGGAAAAGUGAAUACUGUCUUAGUUCACAAGCUGUGUAAGUAGAUAAUGUGGGAAUACAAGAAGAACUAUUCAGAGCAGCAGCUGCGAAACAAGAUAAACAGCAUGAGAACCAAGGAUACCUCUAUAAGAAGAGAAGAAGCAAAAGGAGCAGCUCACAGCUCUGAUUGGGUAAGCACCUGCAGGCACGGUUAAGGAGUGAUUGUAAAAUACUCUGUUGACAUGUAAAGGUGGAUGGGAAGGUUGUAAGAACAAAUGGGAAAGCUAAAAAAGGAAACUUGUGAAUGUAUAUAAAUGAGGUGAGAACUUGUAAGAAACAAUUCAGAUCAUUCACAUCUGAGUCCAUGCAGCAAACACUGCAGAUGAAGAUCUCUUUAAUUCAAGCAGGAAUUUGUGUUAGCUGUCAGUCUGUGGCAAGAUGUGUACAGGAUUUUUAAUUGUUCUGAAAACAGAAGAUAAAAUAAGAAAAAAGGGAAAAAAAAAAAAGAAAUCACUGAAGCUAAGAAAGCUGACAAAGAAACUGGCACACUAACGAGUUUUGUCAAGCAGGUAUUCCCUUUAUUACAGUGCUAGGUGCAUGGGGGAUUGCUCCCACCAGGCAUCUACACCAAGAGAAGCAGUGACUACAUAUUUAAGGGUAUAGUGAAUGAAUAUAUAUGCAUUUCAUUCCAAGGACAUGGGCAGCAAUAACAUCUCUGGUGGUCAUGGGAUGAAAGACGAGGUCAUGCUUGCUGUAAAUUUCCAACCUUUUAAGGGGAGUAGACCAAACUGGUUCUCACUGAUGUUACAUUGAGCCGAGGCAUCUGUUUUGCCAUUUUAUCUUCAACAGCGGGACAUCUAUUCUACUUUCUUAUCUUCAUUUGACAACAAGCUCUGCAGCCUCCUCUGUGCUCUCUUCUUGAGCUUACAUUUAUGCAAGCCUCUGUCCUUCAGCUUACAUCUGUUCAAGUUAUGUGAGAUGCUGUUCUCACAAUAUAGAAAAGCUGUUCUCUUGAUUCACCAUUUAUCAAGUGAUAAUGCUUGGAGGGCUGCAUUUUAGUAAAGUGUUUGGCCUUUAAUGCAGAAUACUCUUGAGUUUCAGGAUUGCUGGUUUUAAUGUGGCUUUUAGCUUUCCUAAAACAACACAAUUCAUUUCCUAAAACAAUACAAAUCAAUUUCGUCAGUAUUACAUUAUAGUAAUCACCCCUUUUCUCUGUUCAUCUGGCAGAUGAAGAGCUAUCCUUUUAGGUGAUACCUUUUCAAGCCUUUCUGCAAAGUUUCUCCCUUCAGUGUAUACUCCUUUUUUUUUUUUCUGUAACAUUAAGAAUUCAGUUGGGUGAGACACUGCUGCAAAGACUGUCUUAGUUAAGGCUCACAGAACAGAAUCCUGUGCUUGCAGUUUUUUUAGCUUGGCUGAAUUCCAUCCCAACAACAGAACAUCUAGGUUUCUUGCCAGCUGCUAGAUAUGUACCUAAAUAAUAUUUCAACCUGGAAUCCAGAGAUUCUGGAUUAACCAACUGCCAAAAUGCCACCAAUAUGCAUUUCUUUCCAAAGCGUUUCUAGCCAUUUCUAUUGGUAGCACAGUACUUGGUAUUGGUAAAAAAAAAAAAAA